rnacentral:rRNA from 1 species
AUUGAACGCUGGCGGCAUGCUUUACACAUGCAAGUCGAACGGUAACAGGCCGCAAGGUGCUGACGAGUGGCGAACGGGUGAGUAAUGCAUCGGAACGUGCCCAGUCGUGGGGGAUAACGCAGCGAAAGCUGCGCUAAUACCGCAUACGAUCUAUGGAUGAAAGCGGGGGACCGUAAGGCCUCGCGCGAUUGGAGCGGCCGAUGUCAGAUUAGGUAGCUGGUGGGGUAAAGGCUCACCAAGCCAACGAUCUGUAGCUGGUCUGAGAGGACGACCAGCCACACUGGGACUGAGACACGGCCCAGACGCCUACGGGAGGCAGCAGUGGGGAAUUUUGGACAAUGGGCGCAAGCCUGAUCCAGCAAUGCCGCGUGCAGGAAGAAGGCCUUCGGGUUGUAAACUGCUUUUGUACGGAACGAAACGGCUCUGGUUAAUACCUGGGGCUCAUGACGGUACCGUAAGAAUAAGCACCGGCUAACUACGUGCCAGCAGCCGCGGUAA